rnacentral:misc_RNA from 1 species
AGUAUCUCAUUAUCAGACCAUCCAAAACUCUUGAAAAUUUUAAUCUUCCUAUCCACGGUACACUGCUUUUGCGAGGCUAAUGUAUGAAAUCCAUAAGGAAACAUAGGAGAGUCAAGCGGAACUCGAAAAUCAUUCUCCACCCUAUGCAACAAACCCUUGAUCCACUCAGGCUUUUGUGCAAAAUACCUAGGAUUUCUAAGCAGGAGUGUUUUCAUUCCCUCAUCAGGAACACCACAAUUUUUCAACAACAAUAUAUUAGUCUCCAUAAUAUUAUGAGCACCAAAAGUAAGCAACCAAGGAGCUCUCUUUAACGCCUUAACUACAUUUUCAUCACUACCCAAAG